UACGGAGGGAGCUAGCGUUGUUCGGAAUUACUGGGCGUAAAGCGCACGUAGGCGGCUUUGUAAGUUAGAGGUGAAAGCCCGGGGCUCAACCCCGGAAUUGCCUUUAAGACUGCAUCGCUUGAAUCCAGGAGAGGUGAGUGGAAUUCCGAGUGUAGAGGUGAAAUUCGUAGAUAUCAGGAGGAACAUCGGUGGCGAAGGCGGCUUCCUGGACACUUACUGACGCUGAGACGCGAAGGCGUGGGGAGCAAACAGG
rnacentral:rRNA from 1 species